rnacentral:misc_RNA from 1 species
AUGCAGAGCAGCAGCAAUAUUUAUAUCGAUCCAAGCAUGUAUCCCCGGUACGAGUAUGCGAAUCUGGAUAUUUCCAGUUUCGAGCGGUCCCCCACAUUUGAGCAGCCUCCAAGUUAUCCAACAUAUGAUCAACAUGUUCAGUUCUUGCCAGAAAUCGAAAACAAUGGGCCAAAACAAAAAUGUCGGGUUUGCAAUCUGGAAGCUCAUGGAAUGCACUUUGGAGUUCAAACUUGCCGGCCGUGCGCCGCAUUUUUCCGACGGAUUGUUGUACUCGAUCUCAAAUACACUUGCGUGUCAAAUACGCAGAAAUGCAAUGUCGACGGGCGUGGAAGAAAUGUGUGUCGCGAUUGUCGCUACAAAAAAUGCAUUGCCGUCGGAAUGACAACUGAUAAUGUCCAAUACAAUCGCGACAGCCACAACAACAAGAAUUCUUCUGGUUCCGGUGGUGGACGGGGACGAGGUAAAAAUAAGAGAAACGUCAUGAUGAUGCUGACUGACGAGGAGGAGGCAGCCGGAAGUAUGAUGGCUCUUCAUCGACGCGUGGCAAUCCUCAGUUAGAUCCGGAUGCGGAGAGACGGGACGAUGAGGAAAUGGACAAAAUUAUUAGCGAUUUGAAACAUUUAUUUGUAGAAUAUUCACCUCCUGAAAUGAUAAAUCAAUGCUCAAUUAAUCAACUUCAAAGACUUACUCAUUCUUUGGUUCUGUAUAGACAGAAUCAGCAAUCAGCUAACCAAAUAAAGUUUUGUGAUACAAUAAAUGCCUUCACCGAUGGCAAAGCACAUCUUCAACGAAAAUCCGAAAAAUUCUCAAAAUGGGUAAAAUGUGUAGACUUUUUCGAUAAGUUGUCCGAUGAACAAAAAAUUGAUACUGUUAAAAUGUCGUUUACUGUGUUUGAUAGACUUGAACGCGCUCAAAUGUCUGUGAAAAUUUUUGGCGAGAAGAGUAUUACUGAAAAAAAAACCACGUUAUCUUCUUAUUGUGCUGUUGACUGGAAAAAUGUCAAAAUCAAUCCAGAAACUGCAAUAAAUACUGAACAAGCAAAUAAUUAUGUUAAAGCUGAAUUCCACGCUCAUGUUGAUUCAAUUAUUGAUGAAGUAUGCAAACCACUUUAUGAACUUCAACUUUCUGACACUGAAACUGCAUUCAUUUUGGUACAAGUUCUUGUUUAUCACGGAGGUGAAAAAGUGACUCCUGAAUUAGUGAAAAUGUUCGAUCAACUUCGUGAGACUAUUGCCACAGAUCUUCAUCUUUAUUAUACAAAAGAAUCUCAAACAGGAACUGAUACAAAUCGAAUACUCAAAAUGAUGAGCGUUGUAAACGCUAUGAAAAAAAUUCACGCAGAUCGUGUCAGGAAAAGUGAUUUAAUACAAAUAUUCAAUAUUUAUAAAGUAUCUGAAAAACGAACCGAUUUUAAUUGUAGCUAAUUUUUCU